UACGUAGGGGGCAAGCGUUGUCCGGAAUCAUUGGGCGUAAAGAGCGUGUAGGCGGUCCGGUAAGUCCGCUGUGAAAGUCGGGGGCUCAACCCUCGAAUGCCGGUGGAUACUGUCGGGCUAGAGUACGGAAGAGGCGAGUGGAAUUCCUGGUGUAGCGGUGAAAUGCGCAGAUAUCAGGAGGAACACCAAUUGCGAAGGCAGCUCGCUGGGACGUGACUGACGCUGAGACGCGAAAGCGUGGGGAGCAAACAGG
rnacentral:rRNA from 1 species